GUGGGGAAUAUUGGGCAAUGGGGGAAACCCUGACCCAGCGACGCCGCGUGAGGGAAGACGGCCUUCGGGUUGUAAACCUCUUUUGUACGGGAAGAAGGACGUGACGGUACCGUGCGAAUAAGUCCCGGCUAACUACGUGCCAGCAGCCGCGGUAAUACGUAGGGGACGAGCGUUGUCCGGAAUUACUGGGCGUAAAGGGCGCGCAGGCUGUAGAUCAAGUCAGCUGUGAAAUGUCUGGGCUUAACCCGGGCAUGCGGUUGAAACUGAUGUACUGGAGUGCUGUAGAGGCAAGUGGAAUUCCCAGUGUAGCGGUGAAAUGCGUAGAUAUUGGGAAGAACACCGGUGGCGAAGGCGACUUGUUGGGCAGCAACUGACGCUGAGGCGCGAAAGCCAGGGGAGCAAACGGGAUUAGAAACCCUUGUAGUCC
rnacentral:rRNA from 1 species